rnacentral:rRNA from 1 species
AUUGAACGCUAGCGGCAUGCUUUACACAUGCAAGUCGAACGAGUGGCGAAGGGGGGGGUAAUAAACCGGAACGUACCGAGUAAUGGGGGAUAACCAAUCGAAAGAUGGGCUAAUACGGCAUAUUAUUCGAGCGGCCGAUAACGGAUUAGCUAGUUGGUGGGGUAAAGGCCUACCAAGGCGACGAUCAGUAGCGGGUCUGAGAGGACGAACCGCCACACUGGGACUGAGACACGGCCCAGACUCCUACGGGAGGCAGCAGUGGGGAAUUUUGGACAAUGGGGGCAACCCUGAUCCAGCCAUGCCGCGUGUAUGAAGAAGGCCUUCGGGUUGUAAAGUACUUUUGUUAGGGAAGCGGUACCUAAAGAAUAAGCACCGGCUAACUACGUGCCAGCAGCCGCGGUAAUAC